CCGCGGUAAGACGUAGGAUGCAAGCGUUGUCCGGAAUUAUUGGGCGUAAAGCGUUCGUAGGCGGCCUACCAAGUCUGGUGUUAAAGCCCGGAGCUCAACUCCGGUUCGGCAUUGGAUACUGGUAAGCUAGAGUACAGAAGAGGCAAGGGNAAUUCCCAGUGUAGCGGUGAAAUGCGUAGAUAUUGGGAGGAACACCGGUGGCGUAAGCGCCUUGCUGGUCUGCGACUGACGCUGAGGAACGAAAGCCAGGGUAGCAAAUGGGAUUAGAUACCCCAGUAGUCCUGGCCGUAAACGAUGGAUACUAGGUGUUGCGGGUAUCGACCCCCGCAGUGCCGCAGCUAACGCAAUAAGUAUCCCGCCUGGGAAGUACAUACGCAAGUAUGAAACUCAAAGGAAUUGACGGGGACCCGCACAAGCGGUGGAACAUGUGGUUUAAUUCGAAGCAACGCGAAGAACCUUACCAGGGCUUGACAUCCCGAGAACUUUCCAGAGAUGGAUUGGUGCCCUUCGGGGAACUCGGUGACAGGUGGUGCACGGUUGUCGUCAGCUCGUGUCGUGAGAUGUUGGGUUAAGUCCCGCAACGAGCGCAACCCCCGUUGUUAGUUGCCUGCAGGAGCCUGCUUCUGUAGUGCUCUCUAGCGAGACUGCCGGUGAUAAACCGGAGGAAGGUGGGGACGACGUCAAAUCAUCAUGCCCCUUAUGUCCUGGGCUACACACGUGUUACAAUGGGUAGGACAACGAGCAGCCAAUCAGCAAUGAUGCGCAAAUCUCUUAAACCUACUCCCAGUUCAGAUCGUAGUCUGCAACUCGACUACGUGAAGUAGGAAUCGCUAGUAAACGCAGAUCAGCAUGCUGCGUUGAUACGUUCCCGGGUCUGUACACACUGCCCGUCACACCAUGGAAGCUGAUCACGCCCAAAGUCGGUGUGCUAACACU
rnacentral:rRNA from 1 species